rnacentral:rRNA from 1 species
UUUGGGAGCUUGCUCCCAAAUCUUAGCGGCGGACGGGUGAGUAACACGUGGCAACCUGCCCUGCAGACUGGGAUAACUCCGGGAAACCGGAGCUAAUACCGGGUAAUACAUAGCACCGCAUGGUGCAAUGUUGAAAGUUGGCUUUCGAGCUAACACUGCAGGAUGGGCCCGCGGCGCAUUAGCUAGUUGGUAAGGUAAUGGCUUACCAAGGCGACGAUGCGUAGCCGACCUGAGAGGGUGAUCGGCCACACUGGGACUGAGACACGGCCCAGACUCUACGGGAGGCAGCAGUAGGGAAUCUUCCGCAAUGGACGAAAGUCUGACGGAGCAACGCCGCGUGAGUGACGAAGGCUUCGGGUCGUAAAGCUCUGUUGUUAGGGAAGAACAAGUACCGUUCGAAUAGGGCGGUACCUUGACGGUACCUAACCAGAAAGCCACGGCUAACUACGUGCCAGCAGCCGCGGUAAUACGUAGGUGGCAAGCGUUGUCCGGAAUUAUUGGGCGUAAAGCGCGCGCAGGCGGUCUUUUAAGUCUGAUGUGAAAGCCCACGGCUCAACCGUGGAGGGUCAUUGGAAACUGGAGGACUUGAGUGCAGAAGAGGAGAGUGGAAUUCCACGUGUAGCGGUGAAAUGCGUAGAUAUGUGGAGGAACACCAGUGGCGAAGGCGGCUCUCUGUCUGU